ensembl:lincRNA
GAAAGGGUGGUGGUUCCGUUGGCAUGUGCUGCCCGCACAGCCUUGUGAUUGAGACGCUGAAGAGCAAGCUGCGUGGGGAAACCCAAGGUGUUAGCCUGGGCUGUCUGAGUAGCGGAGAGCUGCCUGGAGCCCGGAAAGUGGAGAUUUUGGAAGGUGUGUGGGGUCGAUGCGCGUGGACAGUUUUCCCAGUGUUAUGUCCAGGAAAGGGGAAAGAACAGAAUGACAUUUGGUUAUUGCCUAAAAGGUGUGGCAUGGAGGUGUGGAGUGUCGGGGAAGGAAGCUUCCAGCAGCUACGCUUCUGCAGCUACCGAAGCGGCCCCUGACAGAAGGACACUAGGUGAUGGGAACAGUCACUGCUUACAGCUCUUGCUGCGAAGUUAAAAGAGGUGAGCGCUGUGGGCUAUGGGAUGGAUGAGGUGGAGCAGGACCAGCAUGAGGCCCGACUCAAGGAGCUGUUUGACAGUUUUGACACGACGGGCACAGGGUCCCUGGGGCAGGAGGAGCUCACCGACCUUUGCCACAUGUUGAGCUUGGAGGAGGUGGCCCCAGUGCUGCAGCAGACGUUACUUCAGGACAACCUCUUGGGCAGGGUACAUUUUGACCAAUUUAAAGAAGCAUUAAUACUCAUUUUGUCCAGGACUCUAUCAAAUGAAGAACACUUUCAAGAACCAGACUGCUCACUAGAAGCUCAGCCCAAAUAUGUUAGAGGUGGGAAGCGUUAUGGUCGGAGGUCCUUGCCUGAGUUCCAAGAGUCCGUGGAGGAGUUUGCCGAAGUGACGGUGAUUGAGCCACUGGACGAAGAAGCGCAGCCUUCACACAUCCCAGCCAGUGACUGCAGUGAGAAACCUCUCAGAUAUGACCUCUUGAUGCAUACACAGAAGCUGCAGCGUUCACCACCCUUCAUCAAUAGAACUGCAAAUAGAGGCUUUCAAACCAAAGCUCAUCCAACUGCUUUCUUGUCUAAAAAUAAAAUGUUUUGUAAGCUGAAUUGAGCCUGUCAGUUUUCGAAUCACUUCAUCUCUUUAAAAAAAUAAGUUUUAGUGCCAGGCAUGGUGGCUCACACCUAUAACCCCAGCACUUUGGGAGGCCAAGGCAGGAGGAUCACUUGAGCCCAGGAGUUUGAGACCAGCCUGGGCAACAUAAUGAGACCUUGUCUCUACGAAACUUAAAAAAAAUUAGGGCCAGGCAGAGUGGCUCACGCCUGUAAUCCCAGCACUUUGGAAGGCCUAGGCAGGCGGUUCACGAAGUCAAGAGAUCGAGAUCAUCCUGGCCAACAUGGUGAAACCCUGUCUACUAAAAAUAUAUAAAUAUGCUGGAUAUGGUGGUGUGCACCUGUAAUCCCAGCUACUCAGGAGGCUGAGACAGGAGAAUUGCUCGAACCCAGGAGGCAGGGGUUGCAGUGAACUGAGAUCAUGCCACUGCACUCCAGCCUGGCGACAGAACGAGACUCCAUCUCAAAAAAAAAAAUUAGCUGAGCAUGGUGGUAUGUGCCCUUUGUUCCCAGCUACUGGGGAGGCUGAGGCAGGAGAAUUGCUAGAACCUGGGAAACAAAGGUUGCAGUGAGCCGAGAUCAAGCCAAUGCACUCUGGCCUGGGUUACAGAGUGAGACUCUGUCUCAAAAUAACAAUAACAAUAAUGGCAGCUUCACAUGAAACAUUUUUUAUGUUCCUGUUGGCAGUUAAAAGGGCAAAGCCCUGCUUUCCACAGCAGCUGUGGUUAUGGGUCACACCCACUGCCUUUGCUUCUGUGUAUGCAGGAAUCUUGUGGCUUAGCCUUGUCAAUGCAUCAGUCUUGUUACUUACUAUUGUGUCAAGACAGCAUUCCUGUUUCUGGCCAGUUUCCAUAUUAGCCUCAGCAGUUGAGGGCCAAUCUGUUGGCCUACAGAAAUUCAUGCAAUGGGCAGCAUAAGCUUGCUCUAGAAACUCCCCUCCCUUCUACAGAAGCUGUGCAGGUCUCUUAGGAGACCCAAGUGAUCUUCCCUGUUCUAGAGUGACCUCCAGCUAUGGAGUGUAGGGAGGAAAAAAUUCUCAACAACGUGUGGAAUUGGUUUCUUCUUCUUAUAAUGAGUUCUGAAUCUGACAGUUCUUUAUUAUACUGCUGGCUGCUUUUUUCUCCCUUUUGGUUUCCAGAAGCUCUUCUGUCUCCUCUCUUUGGGGAUGUUGGAAAUUUAUUCCUUGGGCUCAUACUUAAUCUUGGGGCCACCGGGCAAUGUGGAAGGAGGGACUGGGCCCGAGUCUCCUCUGACAUGACUGUUUCCUAAGGAGUAGUAACAUGAGGAGCUGGAUCCAGGCCGCCUUUGUUUUGAUUGCAGUUUUCCUUUGACUUCUGGAUCGGGGCUUGGGGAAGCAGGGAAUCUCAGCUCACCUUUGGACUGCAGUUUCCCCUGCUCUCAGACAUGCCUGAUUUUUCCUGAAAUGACUUUUGCUUUUUAUGAUGAAGACAAUAAAAGGGCCCAAACUCAUCAUCCGAAGUUAAAGAGAGGGAAAAUCUGACUGUUGCUACUCAACAGAAGACUAAUUUCAGCUCUGGGUUGCAUCAGAGAAUAAUUUUAUUUUUCUGAGGAUUGUGGAGGGGUGGGCAGUGGAAUGGAAUAGUGUCAUAACUCCUAUAAAAACUGUCCCCAAGGGGGUUAGCUUCUUUUUAGGAACUCAUCCUAUAGGGGUCAGUGAGCAGACAGUCAUCUGAAAAGAUAAAAUAAUAAUUUCUCUAUGUAAGCGUCUUCAUCUGAAUUAAAGAAACCUUUAAAAAAGAAUAAUAAUUUCUCCUCUUUUUCCUCUGAGGUGAUUUCAUAGUAGGGGAGGUUUCCACAGGUCAGCCAGAAUUCAUUCCUAGGCUCUUGGGUUAGUGGUUCACAGUGUUUUCUCAGCAUCCUUAUUUGGAAGGCCUUUUCCUAUUUGCCCAUAAGCAAAACCCAAGUUAUGGGCCAUCCUCAGUGACUACUGAAAAUCAUUCACUGCAGUCUACUUACAACUCCACCCUUCAUUUCCCAUUCAAGAAAACAUCUAGAAAUACAGGCAUGUGAGAGGGAAGCUGUUCUAGAGAUUGCUUUGAAGCAACUAAAUUUAUAUUUAAUGUAAGUCCACUGUGGAGCUUCAGACUUCCUUACUUACAAGUGACUUGGAGCUCCUGUGGUUCCUAUUCAGAGUGCACAUUGUGGUGUGGUGGCAUGGUGGGAGAGCCCGUGUCGUUACUAGAGGGUAGCAAAUAUUCCGCCACCUUGGCCUCAUCCCCUGAGUAGAGGGUAUGAAAAUAAAUCUUAUUACGAGUUGCUUUUGAUCAUGUUUUACUUUUGUUUCAGUUCAUAUAUGUUAAAGCCGCAGCAUAAAUUGUGAACAUCUUAGUAGUCUCCAUCCCUUCCCCCACCCCAUGCUUUUAUCAGGCACGUUGAUUUUUUCCUGCUGAACAGCAAAUAUAUAACCAAGCUAUUAAGCAUGUCUCUCCUACCAAGUUUAGUUUAUAAGGCAAUAAAACUACUCUGUAGGGAAAGGCUACUGUAACCUAGCUAAAUUUUCAGCACUAAAAGAUGCACUUCAGAAUUUCAUUUGGAAAUCCUGAAGCAGAAUGUGCUAAUUCACAAGUGACAGGUCUAACACGACUUCCAAUUUCACGUGUUUAUCUGGCAAAUGGAUCCCUUGGGAGUCUGACCUCUCAUCUUGGGUGAUAUUGAAAAGAAAGUGGUGAUUUCUUUUCUUUUUUUAUGGGAUCGUUGUCACUCAAGUCAAUUCAGUUGGCCAUUUCUAUUCUGAAUUAAUCCAGACUAACAAAGAACAUCUUCUUGAUUCCAACUGAAGAUGUGAUUAAUGAAAAGGUUUGGUUGUCGCUGUUUCUGCUUUACUUCCUUAAGAAACAAGUGAGAUUCAGAAGAGGACAUAUUUUCCCUUGUAUAUUAAUAGCUACUGAACUGACCUUGAAUUUUAUGCUCAUGUUUCUUCUGAGGGUAGGUGGAAGGGAAAACAAACAGAACUAAACUGAGUCUCGCUUCUGUUCUCGAUGCUCAGAGCCGGGAGAAAAGCUUGUGCAAUUAAUACAAUUGGGGCAGGGCCACUUUGCUUUCUGCCCUGGUUGAAAACAGGGUACGCCUUGUUAACUGUUUUCCUCCACAGGGAAUAAAUCGGGUCUAGUAAGAUUCUUAUCAACAGCAAGGGGUGUUUAAACAAUCAUUUCUCCAGCUGUAGACAAUAGUAGUGUAAGCCAAAACCAUUGGCUUGCACAGUGUGGUUUAAAUGAGGACCUGAGAGAAAAGUUAAAGCCGAUGACUACACUACAAGCAAAUCCAGUCUUUGUGUUGGGACUCUGAGGGCAGGAGGAUGGGAAGGUGGUUGUUAAAAAGCUUUAAAAAAGACAAACUGAUUUUACUACCCUACAUAAGAUCAGACUUCUUCAAGAAGUGUGAAAAUGACUUAUCUUUUCCCUUAUGUUCAUUUUCAUGUAUGCAUAACUUUGCAGUUUAUGAAUUAUUCAUUUACAUCGUACAGAGUCAAUAUUUAAUUCUGGAAUAAACUUAAUAACUGAGAAAAGUUCUGCUAAGAUCUUUUGUAGCUGAAAUGCACCUACUUUCCUAUUACUCCCUUGUUAAAUUUUCUAUUCCAGUCUUUGACAAAGCAAGAAGUUUUAUUGCUGAUGCCAUUUAUUCCACCAAAGGCUAUGAUGUCUUCAGGAUAGACUUCUUUUUUUUUUUUAAUGGAAUUCCAGUCUUUUCCUUUAUAUGCAUUAAGUCUUGUCAGAUCAUCUGGCUAUUCCCAGAUAUGAAACAUUCAUUCAAGAUGCAAUUGUAGAUCACUUGAAAGGGAUAGAAAGAAGCCCCUUCAAAGCUUAUAAAAUGUCUCUUUUUCUGAGACAUACUUUCAGGCUUUGGUGUCCUGGUAAGCCUUCCUGACUUGAUCCCAGCAGGAAUUCUGUUGGAGACCAGACCCCACCCCCACCUCCUUCCAUAUCAGUAAUUUCUGAUAUUUAUUUUCUAACUAGAAACUGAGACAAGAAAUCAAGAAUUAAUUUUCAUUGUGACAGUAACAUUUUCUGUCCUACAUAUCUUUAAAUACCUUCCAACAGAAAAGUAGUAUUUGGUAUUUACUGAGCAACUCUGAGAAACAGGAGAGGUAUUUUUUUAAAUCUCUUUCCUUUAAGGACUUUAAAAUCCAGUGGACAAAACUAGUCCCCAACCUUGGUAGGAGAGGAGGCUUGAGGCCCAAACUCAUAAAUUCAGCAUUUUCUCCCACCAGCAAUACCAAAGGCUUUUUCGCCUUCAGUGUAGUAGGACUUAUCUAAAUGUGCGUGCAUUUAAAAAUCGUAUUAAUUCCUGUUAUUUGCAUGCACUUGUAGCACUUAAUUGCCUUUAACGAUAAAGGCACUGAUUUGCAUUCUGGUCGUGACAACCCUGGACUCAGGAGCUUGUCCCAGAGUUCAGAAUGGAGAGAUUGGGAGCUGGGCUGUCAGGCUCUCCACUGCCUUUGCCUUCAAAGGUGGCAUAGUGGAAAAUGAACCAUAGUCCCAGGAAGUGUGUCCCUGCAGAAACAAUAGCCAGCCCUGCUGGGUGCACUCAGAUUCCACUACCCAGUUCAGAGCACAGGCUUUAUAAAUACUGAGGACUAUUAGUGAAAUA